AAAAAUGCUAUAAAAUCUACUUAUUUCAUUUGUGUGAAUAUACAUUAUUAUUAUAUUUGUAUAUAUAUUAUUAUUUCAUUUGUGUUUUUUUUUUUAAAUACACCUUCUAACCCGCAACGGUUGUGAAGAGCCUCCACAACGGAAUCCAGAUUGCACAGUUUGUGAGCAAAUUAACUAAGGAACCUGAAGGUUUAGAAGUGGACCAGCCCUCAUUGGCAGUAGUUGUAAUGAUGAACAUGAGAGCUUCUGCAGGUGACACACCAAAGGACAUCAUGAUUAUUAUUGAGGGAGCGCAUGUCAUCACAGGACUAAAAGAUAAUGCUAUAGCUUGUGCUGCCUUCCUUGGCUUGACCUAUGUGCUAAACCUCAGUUAUCCCAGCCGGCAGACAUUACAAAGGCAUGGCUGUGGAAGAAGAGGGCCAAGUAUUGGACCGGCCUACCAGAGAGAACGUGUGGAGAAUUUUGUAAGAAGUGACUAUGACAACAACCGUGUACUGUUGCACACCUUAAGACUUCAGUUUUCAGGAACAAUGGCACAAAAUACACCAGAACACUUCAUUGCUAGAUAUUCAAGGUGCCAAAACAUCUUUGUGUUGAGACGGAAUGGCAACAUUACAAAGUGGUAAAUGCUUUACCAUCCCAGCUUUUCUGGAAGGUGCUGCAGCCCUGAAAUGCAAGAAUGGAUGUUUACUAACACAUGAAAUAAAGCUGACCAGGCAAAAACUGAAAUUAACCUUUAUCGCGUUAAUUACCGCGAUUAACGACAGCCUUAAUAAUAAUAUAAACUAUUUCAUGAGACACACAUCAGGGAGCUCAAUCUGAGAACAUCAACUUAACUUUUGCUGUGGUCAUUUUGCAGGCUAGCGUGGUGAGCAGAAACGGAAUGUAAACAUGAAGUGCCGUCAGGGAGCCCAAUCCCCCCAAUCUCAAUCCGCUCCCUACUCACUCCCCCUCUCCACUCCGCCUCCGUUUGCGCGUUCACGUGGAGGGUCCCUCUGUAGUGGAUUGUUAGUGAGGAGGGAGCGGAUUGGGAAAGACCGCAUGAGGUACCGUACGGUGCCGGCAGCUCACCUAAAACUGCUCGAGUGGAAAACAUCGAUUUCAUAUCAGUUCACAAUGCUCAUAAAUAAAAUGAUGAACACGAAAA